CCAGGCUUGAACAGCGAGUGACAAACUCCGAAAGGGGUCUUCCGCAAGGACACUCGUAGAGGUGCUGCAUGGCUGUCGUCAGCUCGUGUCGUGAGAUGUUGGGUUAAGUCCCGCAACGAGCGCAACCCUUGUCUGCUGUUGCCAUCAGGUUAUGCUGGGCACUCUGCAGAGACUGCCGGUGAUAAACCGGAGGAAGGUGGGGAUGACGUCAAGUCAGCAUGGCCUUUAUGUCUGGGGCUACACACGUGCUACAAUGGCCGGUACAAACCGUCGCAAAACCGUAAGGUCGAGCUAAUCGGAGAAAGCCGGUCUCAGUUCGGAUAGCAGGCUGCAACUCGCCUGCUUGAAGUUGGAAUCGCUAGUAAUCGCGGAUCAGCACGCCGCGGUGAAUACGUUCCC
rnacentral:rRNA from 1 species